UGGUAGAUCUUUGAUGAGAACUAGAACCAGAUCCUGAAGGAGGAUUAGGUCUUGAGUAUGAACUAGCCUGAUCUAGGUACAUGGCUCUUAUUAUUGCUGAAGAAUGCCAUGGCAUCAUUCACCAAACCAUGAUUAUCAGCACUUACAACAUUGGAUUUACCAAGUAUCCUCUGGCUUUCCUCAGCCAUAACCAGAGAGUAAGCCUUGUUCACACAAGG
rnacentral:lncRNA from 1 species